UACGUAGGGGGCAAGCGUUGUCCGGAAUCAUUGGGCGUAAAGAGCGUGUAGGCGGUUCGGUAAGUCGGCUGUGAAAGUCCAGGGCUCAACCCUGGGAUGCCGGUCGAUACUGCCGGACUAGAGUUCGGAAGAGGCGAGUGGAAUUCCUGGUGUAGCGGUGAAAUGCGCAGAUAUCAGGAAGAACACCUAUGGCGAAGGCAGCUCUCUGGGACGGUACUGACGCUGAGACGCGAAAGCGUGGGGAGCGAACAGG
rnacentral:rRNA from 1 species